UUGCAGCCAUUUAAGCUGACCAUCAUUCUUUUCCCCAUGGGGGCCUGGUGUUCAAUGGCUGUAAACAGCAGCCUCCUUGGUAGUGUAUACAGCCUGUUGCCUGUAUAAGUUGCCCUAACGGACCUUGAAGAUAGCC
ensembl:snoRNA SNORA70 Small nucleolar RNA SNORA70